rnacentral:misc_RNA from 1 species
AACGCAAAUUGCACUCUCUGGAGAUUCCGGAGAGUAUGCCUGUUUCAGUAUCAUAAAGUAACUCAAGCAUUCCUUUUCUUGGAAUGAAUUUGGAUGUGGGUUAUGCAAAAAAAAUUUUUUUGGCUUUUGCUGACCUUAAAUGCAUCACAAGAUUCCGUUCGAGAUAUUCAAGGCUCUUGAAUUGGACUUGUGGUCAACUCUCUCCCAUUGAUUCUUGGGUCAAGUUUCAGUGGGCAGGGAAAGGCCGAUUCUGGCCUUUUAUUGCAACUUGAUCUGAAAUUAGGCAGGACUACCCGCUGAACUUAA